UCCGAGCGAUUUACAGGCGUCAGAAAGUCUGCAAAUCACUUCCGGCAAUAUCUCUGGAUUUCUCCAGCGGUUAUCCAUCAAACACUUUUCACUCGAUCCCCCUUGUUAUACUCUUUUCAUCAAUGCCUUUUUCAUGCACUGUUCUUCGAUUCUCUUUGAUCGAUUGGGCGGUUACUGGCAGUUAUCACCAUGGCAAGAAGACGGGCGCGUUCUUCUUCUCAACCUGCAAUAACAUUCUCUCCUCCUGCGUCUACUGUCGUCUCUUCAUCACAGCCUAAUUAUAGUUCAACAUCCAGCAUUCCUGACGAUGGCCGCAUCCACUGUCCAUUCAAAAACUACGACGACUGUAACGAUGGGACUAAUGGAAGGGGAUAUGUUCGCAGUUCGUUUCAGAGACAUCUUACUGACAGGCACUUCCCAUCAGAACAAGCAAAACAGCAAUGCCGAGAACGUUUGGCAACUGAUAGUGUUACAUACAUUGCUUGGGAGAAAGUAUUACAACAAUUGCGUUGUUGGUUAUGAAGCCACUGUAUCGUUUUACACGCCUGGAAAAAAUCCUGCAAACAUGGUAACGACAUCAUCCCUGGACCAUCCAAUGGUGAAGCCGUGAAUUUUAUCAUAUAAGACAUACCAAUGCCCUUAAUGGCAGUCAGUAAUACUCCAUCUACCUCAUCAGAUGCCCAGUCUGUAUCCCUCUCCUUGGAGUUACUGAAAGAUGUUUUUCAGAGACAAUUCAUCACUAUUUCUUCCAUCCCUGCACCUUGCAGGCUGAGUUUUUCCAGGACCCUUAAAUCAUGCCUAGAUACAGUAAUUGCCAGCCCCAGCGAGAUAUCUCCUUGUAUAGACCCCUGCUACUUCCCAUAUGCACCCUCAACCGAUACACUCCCAAGAAUUCAUCAGAGGAACGCUCUGGAACACGCAAAAGAUUGCAAGUUGCAUCGAUUAACCAAUCCUUGGUAACUUGGAGAGACCCAAAUGGUUGUAUUACUCUGAUCAACACCAUGUUGUACUAGCCGAAACACUGUCAGUUAAGCAAGCCUAAGAGCAAACAAGCACAGGCCUGUGCAAAUAUGGAAGCUUACCGUAAGAAACUUUCUGAUGGACAUUACACUGCAGCCGUCAAAGUACUCUCCUCCGAUGGUUUGGCUCCAUGCAAUGAAUCUACACUCACAGAACUACAUCACAAACACCCUCUGGCUCCUCCACCAACCAUUCCGGCUGAAUCCAUCCUGUGUGAUGCCAUUUCAGUUGAUCAUGUGUCAGUGCUUAAUAUUCCGGCUGAAUCCAUCAAAGGUUUCCCCAAAGGUACCUCCUGUGGAAGAGAUGGGUUGAGAGCCCAACAUCUCCUUGACGCAAUGAGAAGCUCAGCCAAUGCAGUCACGGAUGAAUUGACCAAUUCUAUCACCAAGGUUGUUAACCCGUAGUUAGCAGGCAAGUGCCCAUCCUCUCUUGGAUAAUUAUUAGUCAGCGCCCCUCUAACUCCCUUGAAAAAGCCUGGUGGUGGCAUUCGACCAAUUGUCGUCGGUACUAUUUGGAGGAGACUGGUCUCCAAACUUGCUGCCUCUAAAGUUGGGAAAGAAAUGUCGUCUUACCUUGGAGACUACCAGUUUGGAGUUGGCGUUCCGUGCGGUGGUGAAAGCAUCCUUCACACAGUCAACAGAUUACUGGAAAUCAAAGGCAAUAGGUUUGAUACCUCUGUGUUACUUAUUGAAUUUAUGAAUGCAUUUGACAUGGUGGAUCAGACUUCAUUAAUUCAGGAGGUAAGAAUACAUUGCCCCACUUUGUCACGUUGGGUAGAAUAUUUCUAUGCGACUCCGUCCAGGCUAUAUUAUAAGGAUUUCAUCCUCUCCUCGGCGCAAGGUGUACAACAGGGAGAUCUUCUCGGACCCCUGCUCUUCGCUCUCACACUACACCCCAUUGUGAAAAACAUCGCAUCGGAAGAAGGUAGCAGUCGAGGUAUACACCUAAAUAUUCACAAAACGGAAGUUUUUUAGCGCAACACAGAUCCUCGGAGUCACAACCAAGAUGUCUUUCCACCUGACAUUUGCAGGCCAACAUUUGGAGUCAAAUUACUUGGCGUCCCUGUUAGCUUAGACCUUCAGUUUUGUAAAGACAUGGUCUCACAACGCGUGGAGAAAACUGUCCACCUUAUGAACACGGUGACAAAGCUUAAAGAUACCCAGUGCGAGUUGUUAUUGUUGCGCAACUGUGUAGGUGUCACAAUGGGAACUAAAGCAUCAACUGUUGUUGAGCAUGCUGCCUUUCGCUAUGAUGAUUUUCUGCAUCAGUACCUACGGCAGUUGAUUACCGCAGAUGGCUCCGGUUUUGGUCCACUUCAGUUCCGUUUGGCGACGCUCCCGAUUAAAGAUGGUGUCCUGGGAGUCCACACGAUGUCCGACACAUCUAAGUACUGCUACUUAUCCCCGUAGUUUCAGACACAGUCGGUCCAACGAACCAUACUGCAAUGCGUUGAAACUUCAAGCCCAAUUGCAACUUCGCAGCAUGCCUUGCAGACAUACAUCCAGAUUCCCACUGCCUAUACCAUGUCUGUGUGGGAUACUGUGCUAUGGCAUAGUAACAAAAUAAUGCAUGCACAAGACUAUUUACUGGCGAUACCCAUCAGUGUCUUAAACCAUACAAUUAGCCCUCGCCAUUUCAGAUGCGUUCUCAGUUGUCGUUACGACAUCCCAUUGUUCGAAGAAGGAAGUCGAUGUUCCUAUUGCAAUAGAGAAAUGAACAUAUAUGGUGAUCGUGCACUCCACUGUGCCAGUGAGGUCGGCCUUAAAUUCCGCCAUGAUCUUGUAUGAGAUAUCUUUGUCGACAUAUGUUUUAGGGCUGGAAUAUCGGCAAGGAAAGAAGCGUCACUAGGCCUCUCUAUAGGGAGUAACACUACCUUGCUACCCGUUGAUUUACUGGUGUACAAUUGGACCAACGUGAAGGAUACAUGUUUCGACAUCACCGGUGUAUCUCCUUUUACAAGCGACAUCCGUUAUUUUUCACCUGAUCAGGCUAUUGCAAAAGUUUUCCUUCGCAAGCACAACAAAUACCUCGCUACUUGUGAAGCACAUGGAUACGAGUUGGGCAUUUUAGCAUUCACCACACUAGGCGAAUUAGGUGAAGACACUACCAUAUUUCUAAAGAGAUUGAAGUACAUCCUUGCUAAAAAUGAUGCCAGUGGCACUGGCAACUUUCUAUUUCAUAGAGUAGGCAUUGCAAUUCAAAAGAGUGUUGGCGCCUAGUUGGUAGCUCGACUACCAACAAACUCUGUAUGAAUAUUUUUUUAUUUAUUUUCAAUAAAAUCCCUGAGAGGU